rnacentral:rRNA from 1 species
UACGGAGGGUGCUAGCGUUGUUCGGAAUCACUGGGCUUAAAGGGCGCGUAGGCGGUCCGACAAGUCAGGGGUGAAAUCCUGCAGCUUAACUGUAGAAGUGCCUUUGAUACUGUCGGUCUUGAGGGAAAUAGGGGUGUGCGGAACUUCCAGUGGAGCGGUGAAAUGCGUUGAUAUUGGAAGGAACGCCGGAGGCGAAAGCGGCGCACUGGAUUUCUUCUGACGCUGAGGCGCGAAAGCUAGGGGAGCAAACGGG